rnacentral:rRNA from 1 species
GAUGAACGCUGGCGGCGUGCCUAAUACAUGCAAGUCGAGCGAAUGGAUUAAGAGCUUGCUCUUAUGAAGUUAGCGGCGGACGGGUGAGUAACACGUGGGUAACCUGCCCAUAAGACUGGGAUAACUCCGGGAAACCGGGGCUAAUACCGGAUAACAUUUUGAACCGCAUGGUUCGAAAUUGAAAGGCGGCUUCGGCUGUCACUUAUGGAUGGACCCGCGUCGCAUUAGCUAGUUGGUGAGGUAACGGCUCACCAAGGCAACGAUGCGUAGCCGCCCGGAUGGGGUGAUCGGCCGCACUUGGACUUGGACACGGACCAGAGUCAUAAGGGAGGCAGCAGUAGGGAAUCUUCCGCAAUGGACGAAAGUCUGACGGAGCAACGCCGCGUGAGUGAUGAAGGUUUUCGGGUCGUAAAACUCUGUUGUUAGGGAAGAACAAGUGCUAGUUGAAUAAGCUGGCACCUUGACGGUACCUAACCAGAAAGCCACGGCUAACUACGUGCCAGCCGCCGCAGUAA